UACAGAGGUCUCAAGCGUUGUUCGGAUUCAUUGGGCGUAAAGGGUGCGUAGGUGGCGCUGUAAGUCGGGUGUGAAAUUUCGGAGCUUAACUCCGAAACUGCAUUCGAUACUGCGGUGCUUGAGGACUGGAGAGGAGACUGGAAUUUAUGGUGUAGCAGUGAAAUGCGUAGAGAUCAUAAGGAAGACCAGUGGCGAAGGCGGGUCUCUGGACCGUAACUGACGCUGAGACACGAAAGCGUGGGUAGCAAACAGG
rnacentral:rRNA from 1 species